UCCAGGGUAGCCUAGUGGACAUGGCACCUGCCCGGUAAGCAGAAGGUUGUUGGGUUCGAUUCCCGCCCCUGGAC
rnacentral:tRNA from 1 species